GGGCGGUUGCCAGAGCGGCCAAUUGGGACGGGCUGUAAACCCGUUGGUGUAAUGCCUACGUUGGUUCGAAUCCAACACCGCCCA
rnacentral:tRNA from 1 species